UACGUAGGGUGCAAGCGUUGUCCGGAAUUAUUGGGCGUAAAGAGCUCGUAGGCGGUUUGUCGCGUCUGCUGUGAAAACCCGAGGCUCAACCUCGGGCCUGCAGUGGGUACGGGCAGACUAGAGUGCGGUAGGGGAGAUUGGAAUUCCUGGUGUAGCGGUGGAAUGCGCAGAUAUCAGGAGGAACACCAAUUGCGAAGGCAGCUCGCUGGGACGUAAUUGACGCUGAGACGCGAAAGCGUGGGGAGCAAACAGG
rnacentral:rRNA from 1 species